rnacentral:rRNA from 1 species
AGGAGGAAGAUGGAAAGUGCGGACUGUCGCUGGCUUAUCUGCAUGUGCACGUCUUUGUUUUCUGUCAACCUUUCUCUCACACACACACACCUGUGAACCUAUUGUAGGUCCUCGAAAGAGGAUCUAUGUUUUUCCACAUCACACCUAUCGUAUGUCUAUAGAAUGUAUCAAAGACCGUCGACCAGGCUUGACCCUGGUUGGCUGGUCAAUAAACUAUACAACUUUCAGCAACGGAUCUCUUGGCUCUCGCAUCGAUGAAGAACGCAGCGAAUUGCGAUAAGUAAUGUGAAUUGCAGAUUUCCAGUGAAUCAUCGAAUCUUUGAACGCACCUUGCGCUCCUUGGUAUUCCGAGGAGCAUGCCUGUUUGAGUGUCAUUGAAUUCUCAACCAUGUCUUGAUUGAUUUCAAGCGCAUGGCUUGGAGUUGGGGGUUGCUGGCGGCGAAAGGCUGUCGGCUCUCCUGAAAUGCAUUAGCAAAGGGUGGCUAGUCUUUGACAUGCACGGCCUUCGACGUGAUAAUGAUCGUCGUGGCUGGAGUGUCUUAGACCAUGCAUGAAUGGCCCUUGCUUCUAAUUUAGAUGUAGAUGCCUCGCCUUGGAGCUGAGCUGUUAGCUACUAGUCGGUCGUAAGGCUGGCGAACGUGCAGCAAUGUGUCUGGGCUUGUGUAUUCGCUCACUUUCGAAACUUGACCUCAAAUCAGGUAGGACUACCCGCUGAACUUAAGCAUAUCAAUAAGCGGAGGAAAAGAAACUAACAAGGAUUCCCCUAGUAACUGCGAGUGAAGCGGGAUGAGCUCAAAUUU